GGACGAAGGCCUCUGGGCUGUAAACCUCUUUUCUCAAGGAAGAAGAUAUGACGGUACUUGAGGAAUAAGCCACGGCCAAUUCCGUGCCAGCAGCCGCGGUAAUACGGGAGUGGCAAGCGUUAUCCGGAAUUAUUGGGCGUAAAGCGUCCGCAGGCGGCUUUUCAAGUCUGCUGUUAAAACGUGGAGCUUAACUCCAUCAUGGCAGUGGAAACUGAAAGGCUCGAGUAUGGUAGAGGCAGAGGGAAUUCCCGGUGUAGCGGUGAAAUGCGUGGAUAUCGGGAAGAACACCAGUGGCGAAGGCGCUCUGCUGGGCCAUAACUGACGCUCAUGGACGAAAGCCAGGGGAGCGAAAGGGAUUAGAUACCCCUGUAGUCCUGGCCGUAAACGAUGAACACUAGGUGUCGGGGGAAUCGACCCCUUCGGUGUCGUAGCUAACGCGUUAAGUGUUCCGCCUGGGGAGUACGCACGCAAGUGUGAAACUCAAAGGAAUUGACGGA
rnacentral:rRNA from 1 species